AAGGAUCAUUACAGAAUAGAAGUUGCUUAACUGCAUCUUUUUACACACGUGUUUUUAUUUUUGAAAACUUUGCUUUGGCGGGUUCUGCCCGCCAGAGACUAAACUCAACCAAACUUUUAUUUUAUCAGUCAAACGAUUAUACAUAAUAGUCAAAACUUUCAACAACGGAUCUCUUGGUUCUCGCAUCGAUGAAGAACGCAGCGAAAUGCGAUAAGUAAUAUGAAUUGCAGAUAUUCGUGAAUCAUCGAAUCUUUGAACGCACAUUGCGCCCUUUGGUAUUCCAAAGGGCAUGCCUGUUUGAGCGUCAUUUCUCCCUCAAACCCUCGGGUUUGGUGUUGAGCGAUACGCAGGGUUUGCUUGAAAGAAAGACGGAGUACAAACUAAUGGAUAGGUUUUUUUCCACUCAUUGGUGAACUCCAAGAAAUUCUUCCAAAUUCGACCUCAAAUCAGGUAGGACUACCCGCUGAACUUAA
rnacentral:rRNA from 1 species